rnacentral:rRNA from 1 species
CCUACGGGUGGCAGCAGUGAGGAAUAUUGGUCAAUGGGCGGGAGCCUGAACCAGCCAAGCCGCGUGAGGGAAGAAGGUACUGCGUAUCGUAAACCUCUUUUGUCAGGGAACAAAGGCGGGGACUAGUCCCCGGAUGAGGGUACCUGAAGAUACAGCAUCGGCUAAUUCCGUGCCAGGAGCCGCGGUAAUACGGAGGAUGCGCGCGUUAUCCGGAUUUAUUGGGUUUAAGGGGAGCGUAGGCCGCAUGGCAAGCUUGCUGUGAAAUGUUCGGGCUCAACCCGGGCCUUGCAGCGCAAACUGGCGUGCUGGAGUCCGCGGAAGGCAGGCGGAAUUCGUAGUGUAGCGGUGAAAUGCGUAGAUAUGACGAAGAACCCCGAUUGCGAAGGCAGCUUGCUGCAGCGGAACUGACGCUGAUGCUCGAAAGCGCGGGUAUCGAACAGGAUUAGAUACCCCGGUAGUC